rnacentral:rRNA from 1 species
UACGAAGGGGGCUAGCGUUGCUCGGAAUCACUGGGCGUAAAGGGUGCGUAGGCGGGUCUUUAAGUCAGGGGUGAAAUCCUGGAGCUCAACUCCAGAACUGCCUUUGAUACUGAAGAUCUUGAGUUCGGGGGAGGUGAGUGGAACUGCGAGUGUAGAGGUGAAAUUCGUAGAUAUUCGCAAGAACACCAGUGGCGAAGGCUGCUCACUGGCCCGAUACUGACGCUGAGGCACGAAAGCGUGGGGAGCAAACAGG